CAAUAGGCCGGCUUUUGAACUGCUUCGCAGGGGACUUGGAAGACCUGGACCAGCUCUUGCCCAUCUUUUCAGAGCAGUUCCUGGUCCUGUCCUUAAUGGCGAUCGCCAUCCUGUUGAUUGUCAGUGUGCUGUCUCCAUAUAUCCUGUUAAUAGGAGCCAUAAUCAUGGUUAUUUGCCUCGUUUAUUAUAAGAUGUUCAAGAAGGCCAUCGGUGUGUUCAAGAGACUGGAGAACUAUAGCCGGUCUCCUUUAUUCUCCCACAUCCUCAAUUCUCUGCAAGGCCUGAGCUCCAUCCAUGUCUAUGGAAAAACUGAAGACUUCAUCAGCCAGUUGAAGAGGCUGGCUGAUGCACAGAAUAACUACCUGCUGUUGUUUCUAUCUUCCACGCGAUGGAUGGCAUUGAGGCUAGAGAUCUUGACCAACUUUGUGACCUUGGCUGUUGCCCUGUACGUGGCUUUUGACAUUUCCUCCACCCGCUACUCCUUUAAAGCCAUGGCUGUCAACAUCGUGCUGCAGCUGGCGUCCAGCUUCCAGGCCAGUGUCCGGAUUGGCUUGGAGACAGAGGCAUACUUCACGGCUGCAGAGAGGAUACUGCAGUACAUGAAGAUGUGUGUCUCGGAAGCUCCUUUACAUAUGGAAGGCACAAGUUGUCCCCAGGGGUGGCCACAGCAUGGGGAAAUCACAUUUCAGGAUUAUCACAUGAAAUACAGAGACAACACACCCACUGUGCUUCACGGCAUCAACCUGACCAUCCGCGGCCACGAAGUGGUGGGCAUCGUGGGAAGGACGGGCUCUGUAGGUUUUUACUGAGCACCUGCUAUGUGCCUGGGAACUGAAAGGGAAGUCCUCCUUGGGCAUGGCUCUUUUCCGCCUGGUGGAGCCCAUGGCAGGCCGGAUUCUCAUUGACGGCGUUGACAUUUGCAGCAUCGGCCUGGAGGACUUGCGGUCCAAGCUCUCAGUGAUCCCUCAAGAUCCAGUGCUGCUCUCAGGAACCAUCAGAUUCAACCUAGAUCCCUUUGACCGUCACACUGACCAGCAGAUCUGGGAUGCUUUGGAGAGGACAUUCUUGACCAAGGCCAUCUCAAAGUUCCCCAAAAAGCUGCAUACGGAUGUGGUGGUAAACGGUGGAAACUUCUCUGUGGGGGAGAGGCAGCUGCUCUGCAUUGCUCGGGCUGUGCUUCGCAACUCCAAGAUCAUCCUUAUCGAUGAAGCCACAGCCUCCAUUGACAUGGAGACAGACACCCUGAUCCAGCGCACAAUCCGUGAAGCCUUCCAGGGCUGCACCGUGCUUGUCAUUGCCCACCGUGUCACCACCGUGCUGAACUGUGACCGCAUCUUGGUUAUGGGCAAUGGGAAGGUGGUAGAGUUUGAUCGGCCGGAGGUCCUGCGGAAGAAGCCUGGGUCAUUGUUCGCAGCCCUCAUGGCCACAGCCACUUCUUCACUGAGAUAAGGAGAUGUGGAGACUUCAUGGAGGCUGGCGGCUGAGCUCAGAGGUUCACACAGGUGCAGCUUCGAGGCCCACAGUCUGCGACCUUCUUGUUUGGAGAUGAGAACUUCUCCUGGAAGCAGGGGUAAAUGUAGCGGGGGGUGGGGAUUGCUGGAUGGAAACCCUGGAACAGGCUACUUGAUGGCUCUCAAGACCUUAGAACCCCAGAACCAUCUAAGACAUGGGAUUCAGUGAUCAUGUGGUUCUCCUUUUAACUUACAUGCCGAAUAAUUUUAUAAUAAGGUAAAAGCUUAUAGUUUUCUGAUCUGUGUUAGAAGUGUUGCAAAUGCUGUACUGACUUUGUAAAAAUAUAAAACUAAGGAAAACUCA
rnacentral:sRNA from 1 species